UAUAUAUAUAUAUAGACACACACACACUAACUAGUAACACCGUACAAAUAUAUUAUUAUUUAGGGGUGUUAAGAUAUAAGUCCCUGGUGACAAACUUUAUUAGAACUAAAUGACAGCCCUAAUUAAAAUUUGUUUCACAUCCUUUAUCAAAAUUCAUUCCAAAAAUACCCCUCCAUUCACAAAUUCGAAAAUUAAGUCAAAUUAUAAAUAUUCUAU
rnacentral:lncRNA from 1 species